UGAGGAAUAUUGGUCAAUGGGCGAGAGCCUGAACCAGCCAAGUCGCGUGAAGGAAGACUGCCUUAUGGGUUGUAAACUUCUUUUAUACAGGAAUAAAAGGCUUACGCGUAGGCCAUUGCAAGUACUGUAUGAAUAAGCAUCGGCUAACUCCGUGCCAGCAGCCGCGGUAAUACGGAGGAUGCGAGCGUUAUCCGGAUUUAUUGGGUUUAAAGGGUGCNCAGGCGGGCUUUUAAGUCAGCGGUGAAUCUGGACGCUUAACGUCCAAACUGCCGUUGAAACUGGGAGUCUUGAGUAUGGAUGAGUAGGCGGAAUUCGUUGUGUAGCGGUGACAUGCAUAGAUAUAACGAGGAACUCCGAUUGCGUAGGCAGCUUACUAAGCCAUAACUGACGCUCAUGCACGAAAGCGUGGGGAUCAAACAGGAUUAGAUACCCUGGUAGUCCACGCCGUAAACGAGAUUUACUAGUUGUAUGCGAUAUGAUAGUAUGUGACUAAGCGAAAGCGAUAAGUAAUCCACCUGGGGAGUACGCCGGCAACGGUGAAACUUAAAUGAUUGACGGGGUCAUAGCUGUUUCCUG
rnacentral:rRNA from 1 species